GAUGAACGCUGACAGAAUGCUUAACACAUGCAAGUCUACUUGAUUCUACUUCAGUAGUUGAUGGUGGCGGACGGGUGAGUAACGCGUAAAGAAUCUGCCCUUUAGUUUGGGAUAACCUUUGGAAACGAAGGCUAAUACCGGAUAUUAUGGAGACGUCGCAUGGCGACUCCAUGAAAGCUAUAUGCGCUAGAGGAGGACUUUGCGUCCCAUUAGUUAGUUGGUGAGGUAAUGGCUAACCAAGACCGCGAUGGGUAGCCGGCCUGAGAGGGUGAUCGGCCACAAGGGAACUGAGACGCGGUCCUUACUCCUACGGGAGGCAGCAGUGGGGAAUAUUGGACAAUGGGCGAAAGCCUGAUGCAGCGACGCCGCGUGAGGGAUGACGGCCUUCGGGUUGUAAACCUCUUUCAGCAGGGAAGAAGCGCAAGUGACGGUACCUGCAGAAGAAGCACCGGCUAACUACGUGCCAGCAGCCGCCGCGGUAA
rnacentral:rRNA from 1 species